rnacentral:lncRNA from 1 species
AUGGCCCUCAGCUUGCCUGGUCCAAGGGAUUCAUUUGAGAAAUUCUGCAGAAUCUGUGAGGCAGGCAGCUAUCGUAACGUCUCUGCCAGUGCUGCCCCCUGUCAGCCCUGCCCAGCAGGCUUCAUCUGCCCACAAGGCAGUGAAAGUUACCAUGAGAAGCCCUGUCCCAGUGGCUACUACUGCCCUCCCCUGGCAUCUGCCCCCCUUCCCUGUCCCCCAGGGACACAUGGGAGCAGCAACUUUGGAAAGCAAGUAGAGGACUGUCAGGCCUGUCCUGCUGGCACCUUCAACCACCUUCCUGCUCAGGCUGCCUGUUUUCCCUGUGGCAGCUCUUCUUCGUCACAGCCUGGUGCUACCAGCUGUACCUGCCGUGGGCUGAACCGGGCUUUCCAGCAGUCAGAUGCCUCCUGUAUCUGCCAGGCAGGUUACGUGUACUACGACGAGCGAGGCAAGGAAAACCCUGACAGCAACAGCGAUCAAGACUGCCUACCUCAGGUGGACGAGCUCUGUGCUCCUGGAGAGGUUCGUCUGGCAUCUACACGCCAGUGCGUUUUUCCCGAGCGAUAUGACUGCUCUCCAUCCUGUGGGCCUGCAGGUGGAGAGAUUAAUGCAGAGCUGGGAAUAUGUCACUGCAAGCAGUACGUCUCAGCGGAGGAGCUCUGUGACCAGUUGUGUUUGCUGAAAGCCCCACGGAUCUCCUUGAGAUUUGGCAUCAAGAGAGAGCUGCUUCUGAGGAUGAAUGAAGGAGAAGUCAGGGAGGUGGCAAAUGUUCUGGGCCCAGAUGACCAUGUGCAGAAGAGCCAGCGGGUGCAUUUGGUUCUGUUUAGCCCUGGUGGAGUGCUAGGUUUUAUUGUCUCCAGCACAGAUGUUUUGGAUGCAUUUCUCACAGGUGAUUUUUCAUCAGAUCAGGUGCUGCAGAAAGGUCAUCAAGUGCAAAGGGCUUUCUUCAAAGAUACCCAUGCUUUGCCUCUUGUCCCUAACCCACUGGUAUGUCUGGAAGCAGGAGACACAAUCCUUUUCCAGCUUAGCAUCGGUUUUCACAAUCGCACAUCCAGCCAUUACCCAGUUUAUCAGAAGCAGCAUCUUUACAACAGCAACCCCAGCUGGGAUUUUGGACCCUUCCGAAGGCUAGACCACCUCGUCCAGGAGACUCACCUCAACAUCUCCUGGUUUGCCCAUGUUUUCCUGGAAUCUGGGACAUAUGUUUUCAGGGAUAGGACCAUUCAGGAACACUUCUUGAUUGUGACUGUGAAUGAAGCAAAUGUGGGCUGUGGCCCCAGAAAUGUGUCCUUCCAGCCCUCUUCUCUGUUCCAGCUGGCCAGACAUGGGGUUCUGAAGCACCAGGAGCUGAACUUAGCUCCUAACUGGGCUGCUAUCACAGCGGUGCUCUUUGUUCUGGGCUUCUUAACUGUGGUGCUGACAACCCUGGCCAUUGUGCUACAGCCCGCUGUCCCCAUCCUUAACCCCCUGAAGAGCUGGAAGCCACGGUGGAGGAGCCUGGGUGAGCCACACAUCUCCCCAGAGUACGUCCUUCUUAAAGACAGCCUGCAGUACUAUCAGAUGCUUGGCCCUCGUGGUUCUGGAGAAGAUGCUGGCUUUGGAGAGAAAGGAGCUGCACAUAAGGAAGGUGAAGUGAUGUGA